AGCUCACCUUAGUCUCUUUAUUAAACUAAACAAACUUUUAGACUUAAGAGCUAUUCAAAUAAGGCACAGCUUAUUUGAAAUAGGACACAACCUACAACAUAGGGUAAAUGAGAGUGACAUAAAUAAAGUGGGCCUAAAAGCAGCCACCUUCAGAAAAGCGUUAAAGCUUAACUACCUUCACUCAUAAUGCCUAAAAUCUCCACUAACCCUUCAUUACUACUGAACAAUUUUAUACUCAUAUAAAAGCUAUCAUGCUAGAACUAGUAACAAGAAACUGCUUUUCUCCUAAAUGUAAACAUAAACCAAAAUAGACCAUCUAUUGGUUAUUAACGUAAAUGCUAAACUGUAGCAACACUCACUAGAAAAUCCUAUAAACCCCAACGUUAACCUUACACCAGAACAUUACAGGAAAGAUUAAAAGAAAAAGAAGGAACUCGGCAAAUUUUAGCCUCGCCUGUUUACCAAAAACAUCGCCUCUUGACAAACAUAAGAGGUCCAGCCUGCCCAGUGACAAAGUUCAACGGCCGCGGUACCCUAACCGUGCAAAGGUAGCACAAUCACUUGUUCUUUAAAUGAGGACUCGUAUCAACGGCACUACGAGGGCUAUACUGUCUCCUUUUUCUAAUCAGUGAAACUGAUCUCCCCGUGAAGAAGCGGGGAUUGUAAUAUAAGACGAGAAGACCCCAUGGAGCUUUAAACUCACCAUGUACCCCUGUGCUCCCAUACCCCCAGACACAACAGACCUACAUGUUAGUUUUAGGUUGGGGUGACCACGGAGUAUAACUUAACCUCCACAGCAAAUGGGCUAAUACCCUUAUCCACGAGACACAACUCUAAGAAUUACUAAACUAAUGCUUACGACCCGAUAUUCGAUCCAUGAACCAAGUUACCCUGGGGAUAACAGCGCAAUCUACUUCAAGAGCCCAUAUCGACAAGUAGGUUUACGACCUCGAUGUUGGAUCAGGGUAUCCCGGUGGUGCAGCCGCUACCAAUGGUUCGUUUGUUCAACGAUUAAAACCCUACGUGAUCUG
rnacentral:rRNA from 1 species